rnacentral:rRNA from 1 species
CAGUCGAGCGAACUGAUUAGAAGCUUGCUUCUAUGACGUUAGCGGCGGACGGGUGAGUAACACGUGGGCAACCUGCCUGUAAGACUGGGAUAACUUCGGGAAACCGAAGCUAAUACCGGAUAGGAUCUUCUCCUUCAUGGGAGAUGAUUGAAAGAUGGUUUCGGCUAUCACUUACAGAUGGGCCCGCGGUGCAUUAGCUAGUUGGUGAGGUAACGGCUCACCAAGGCAACGAUGCAUAGCCGACCUGAGAGGGUGAUCGGCCACACUGGGACUGAGACACGGCCCAGACUCCUACGGGAGGCAGCAGUAGGGAAUCUUCCGCAAUGGACGAAAGUCUGACGGAGCAACGCCGCGUGAGUGAUGAAGGCUUUCGGGUCGUAAAACUCUGUUGUUAGGGAAGAACAAGUACGAGAGUAACUGCUCGUACCUUGACGGUACCUAACCAGAAAGCCACGGCUAACUACGUGCCA